rnacentral:rRNA from 1 species
UGGGGAAUCUUGCGCAAUGGGCGAAAGCCUGACGCAGCGACGCCGCGUGCGGGAAGAAGGCCUUAGGGUUGUAAACCGCUUUCAGGAGGGACGAAGCCACUCGGGUGAAUAGCCCAGAGGGUGACGGUACCUCCAGAAGAAGCCCCGGCUAACUACGUGC